AUCUAUGGAAGAAGUUCACUCUAAUUCCGUAUAUAUUUAUAUAUAUCAAAAUCUUUAUCUUAUGUACUAACUAAACUAAACUCUAAAUAUAAAUAAAAAUUAAUUAAAGUUCAAAUUCUUCUCCAACUCAAUCAAUUAUCUCCUCACAACUAACCUCAAACCCAUCCUUCCGCACCAUCGCAUACAACCUCGCCGCCGCUGUGAGCCUCCGGUCCGCCGCGCUUCACCGCUGCUCUUAGUCUUUUUUCCGGUCGCCGCCUCCCCUCUUCGAAGGCCGGUUGAGGUAUGUAUACGAUCCUUGAAUUCUUCUGUUUGGUAUCUUGAUAUUUUUUGCUGUUAAGAUGGCUGGAUUAUGCGGCAACUUUAUAAAUUGGAGUAGUUACAGUGCGAAAGAUUAAAAAAAAUACAUUUUUUUCUUGCUAAUCUGAAUAUAUUUGUGGGAUGAAUAUGUUAGGCAUGGAAAAUUGUGUUCUUGGGUGCAUGUGAAAUGAAUUUUGAUCGUGUAUUUGUUAAUCCAUAAAGAAAGAAGUUCAAUUGAGUUUUGACAAGGAGAAUCUUGAAAUAAGAAAA